CCUCUGGGAAGAAGAGAGCAUGGCCAGCAUGGCCAGGACGGAGAAGGAAGAAACGGCAGCGCAGGCAGCAGCCACGGAAGGUUUUUCAAGCCUCGGCUGGGGGACAGGCAAGGGGCGGUUCAACCAUUAGGCGAAGUAAGCGGUUUCUGAAGGCACCAUCCUCCACAGCCUGGCCUUCACCCUCGAGGCCAGGUCUCCAGGCUGCCUGGCCAUGUUCCAGAAGCUUUCUCUCCUGACGGUAAACCCACACCUAUGGCAGGCAUCCUCAGAGGUUGGGAGGUCUGUUGGAAGCUAGGUAAGUGGGGUUUAUAUAUCUGUGAAAAGUCCAGGGUGGGAGAAAGAGCUCUUGUCUGUUUGAGGCUAGUGUGAAUGUUGCAAUUGGCCAGCUUGAUUAGCAUUUAAUGGCCUUGCAGGUUCAAAGCCUAGCUGCCUCCUCCCUGGGGCAUCCUUGGUUGGGAGGUGUUAGCUGGCCCUGAUUGUUUCCUGUCUGGAUUUCCCCUGUUUUCAGUGUUGUCCUUUAUUUACUGUCCUGAUUUUAGAGUUUUUUAAAUUCCCUUUCGGUGGCCUUUUAAUUCCUAUGGAUUCCUAAGGACCCUCAGGGUUCUUCCACACAACCAUAUAAGCUAGAAUAUCAAAGCAGAAUAACCCACAACAUCUGCCUUGAUCUGGGUUAUCUGAGUCCACACUUCUAUAU
rnacentral:lncRNA from 1 species